UCUCCACACUGCUGUUGGGUAAGGUGAUC
rnacentral:piRNA from 1 species